GAUGAACGCUGGCGGCGUGCCUAAUACAUGCAAGUCGAGCGAACAGACGAGGAGCUUGCUCCUCUGACGUUAGCGGCGGACGGGUGAGUAACACGUGGAUAACCUACCUAUAAGACUGGGAUAACUUCGGGAAACCGGAGCUAAUACCGGAUAAUAUAUUGAACCGCAUGGUUCAAUAGUGAAAGACGGUUUUGCUGUCACUUAUAGAUGGAUCCGCGCCGCAUUAGCUAGUUGGUAAGGGAACGGCUUACCAAGGCAACGAUGCGUAGCCGACCUGAGAGGAGGAGCAGCAACACUAGAAAUGAGACAGGGUCCGGACGACUACGGGAGGCAGCAGGGGGGAAUAGUGGCAAAGGGGCGCAAGGCUGAUAAAGCCAUACAGGGGGGGUGAAGAAGGCGUUCGGAUCGUAAAGCCCUGUUGCUGGGAAAGAAAAGAAGCAGGUUAAUACCGCGCUGUCAUGACGGUACACAAAGAAUAAGCAACGGCUAACUUCGUG
rnacentral:rRNA from 1 species